rnacentral:rRNA from 1 species
UACGUAGGGUGCAAGCGUUAAUCGGAAUUACUGGGCGUAAAGCGUGCGCAGGCGGUUUUGUAAGUCUGUCGUGAAAGCCCCGGGCUCAACCUGGGAAUGGCGAUGAAGACUGCAAGGCUAGAAUCUGGCAGAGGGGGGUAGAAUUCCACGUGUAGCAGUGAAAUGCGUAGAGAUGUGGAGGAACACCGAUGGCGAAGGCAGCCCCCUGGGUCAAGAUUGACGCUCAUGCACGAAAGCGUGGGGAGCAAACAGG